AGCAACGCCGCGUGGAGGAUGAAGUCCCUUGGGAUGUAAACUCCUUUCGACCGGGACGAUAAUGACGGUACCGGUGGAAGAAGCCCCGGCUAACUCUGUGCCAGCAGCCGCGGUAAUACAGAGGGGGCAAGCGUUGUUCGGAAUUAUUGGGCGUAAAGGGUGCGUAGGCGGUGCGGUAAGUCUUCUGUGAAAUCUCCGGGCUCAACUCGGAGUCUGCAGGAGAAACUGCCGUGCUUGAGUAUGGGAGAGGUGAGUGGAAUUCCUGGUGUAGCGGUGAAAUGCGUAGAUAUCAGG
rnacentral:rRNA from 1 species